rnacentral:ribozyme from 1 species
GAAAAUCCAAAAAAACAACAAAUAAAUAGACAGAUUGGUAGUGUAAUUUUUUUCAUGUCAUAAUUUUUUUUUUUUUUUUUUUUUUUUUUUUUUUUUUUUU